rnacentral:rRNA from 1 species
UGAGGAUCCAGGUUGAUCCUGCCGAGGAACGCUAUUUCGGUUAAAGAUUAAGCCAUGCAAGUGCUAGUUCAGGCAACGAAACUGCGAACAGCUCAUUAACACGCUCAGAACCUAUUUGGUUUCAGCCCGGUAGGGCUCUACAUGGAUAGCGGCAGUAAUUCUGGCGCUAAUACAUGCGACACAACCAUCUUAAGUGAGUUAAGAUGAGGACAUGACCUUAUAGGCGUACCAUUCGGUUGAGCGCCCUAUCAGCUUCUAUGUAGUAUCUUUUACUAUGUAGGCUAUCACGGGUAACGGGCGGUUACCGUCGGACUGCCGGAGAAGGUGCCUGAGAGACAGCAGCUAUUUCUAUGGAAAGCAGCAGGCGCGAAACUUACCCACUCGCCAAUGGCGGAGGUGGUUAUGACCAGUUCCAUCGUAUCGCAAGAUCGGCGGAUAGGUUCAUACUUUUCCAGUAUGGAGCAAUCUAGCAGAGGGCCAGUUCUGGUGCCAGCAGCUGCGGUAAUUCCAGCUCUGCUAAUCGCGUUCCAUUGUUUAAUUUAAAACGCUCGUAGUCGGAAUUAAAAGCUCGAGUAGAGCGUUCACCGUGAUCAAAUCAGAAUGCUUAGAGUAGUUCAUAACUGAAUGACUCAGCACGGUAUGAGACUUUUACCCCUAACGGGGUCAGAUCAAAGAGAGCCAUCGGGGGUAAAUCUAUUUCAUGGCGAGCGGCGGAAUGUGUUGACCCAUGAGAGAGAAACGGAUGCGAAAGCGUUUACCUAGAGGGUUUCUGUCGAUCAAGAGCGAGAGUGAAAGGAUUCAAGAGGAUUAGAGACCCUCGUAAUUUUCACCUUAAACUAUGGCGACGGAGCGUUGUGCUAUUGCAGCGUUCUAAGCGAAAGCUCAAGAAGGCCUAUUGGGGAACUACGACCGCAAGGCUGAAACUUGAAGGAAUUGACGGAAGGGCACACAAUGGGGUGGAUACUGUGGCUCAAUCUGACUCAACGCGGAGAAACUUACCAAGUCAAAAGGUUUUUAAUGACUGACCGGCUAAAGACCGUUCAGGAUAUGACCACUGGUGGUGCAUGGCCGUUGGUGAUUCGUGAAGCGAUUUGUCAUACGUCGAUUCAGGUAACGGGUGAGACUACCACCAAUUAUCUAGGCGUGCGCUUGUUAAGCGUUGCGUCUUCUAAUCGGGACUCCCUGCGUUUAAGUAGGCGGAAGAGGGUAGCAAUAACAGGUCCGUGAUGUCCUUUAGAUGCUUUGGGCUGCACGCGUUCUACAAUGCUUGCACCAAUGGGAUGCUAACCUGAGAGGGUUUGCUACUCCAUUAAUCGCAUGCGUGAUUGGGAUUGAGCGUUGUAAUCACGCUCAUGAACUAGGAAUCCCUUGUAAGCGUACGUCAACAUCAUACGUUGAAUAUGUCCCUGCCCUUUGUACACACCGCCCGUCGCUCCUACCGAUUGGAUGGAUUGGCGAAGUUGCUGGACUCUUCGGCGGAAGGUAACUAAGCCUGUCGAUCUAGAGGAAGGAGAAGUCGUAACAAGGUAUCUGUAGGUGAACCUGCCGCUG